UGGGGAAUAUUGGACACUGGGCGAAAGCCUGAUCCAGCCAUGCCGCGUGUGUGAAGAAGGUCUUCGGAUUGUAAAGCACUUUAAGUUGGGAGGAAGGGCAGUAAGCGAAUACCUUGCUGUUUUGACGUUACCGACAGAAUAAGCACCGGCUAACUCUGUGCCAGCAGCCGCGGUAAUACAGAGGGUGCAAGCGUUAAUCGGAAUUACUGGGCGUAAAGCGCGCGUAGGUGGUUCGUUAAGUUGAAUGUGAAAGCCCCGGGCUCAACCUGAGAACUGCAUCCAAAACUGGCGAGCUAGAGUAGGGCAGAGGGUGGUGGAAUUUCCUGUGUAGCGGUGAAAUGCGUAGAUAUAGGAAGGAACACCAGUGGCGAAGGCGACCACCUGGGCUCAUACUGACACUGAGGUGCGAAAGCGUGGGGAGCAAACAGG
rnacentral:rRNA from 1 species